AGAACGAACGCUGGCGGCAGGCUUAACACAUGCAAGUCGAACGAGUGUAGCAAUACACUAGUGGCGCACUGGUGAGUAACGCGUGGAUAUCUACCUUUUGGUUCGGAAUAACCUUGGGAAACCGAGGCUAAUACCGGAUGGUUCCUACGGGAUAAAGAUUUAUCGCCAGAAGAGGAGUCCGCGUCCGAUUAGCUAGUUGGUGAGGUAACGGCUCACCAAGGCGACGAUCGGUAGCUGGUCUGAGAGGACGAUCAGCCACACUGGGACUGAGACACGGCCCAGACUCCUACGGGAGGCAGCAGUGGGGAAUAUUGGACAAUGGGCGAAAGCCUGAUCCAGCCAUGCCGCGUGAGUGAUGAAGGCCUUAGGGUUGUAAAGCUCUUUUACCCGGGAAGAUAAUGACGGUACCGGGAGAAUAAGCCCGGCUAACUUCGUGCCAGCAGCCGC
rnacentral:rRNA from 1 species